rnacentral:rRNA from 1 species
UACGGGGGGGGCAAGCGUUGUUCGGAAUUACUGGGCGUAAAGGGCGCGUAGGCGGCCAUCUAAGUCAGACGUGAAAUCCCUCGGCUCAACCGAGGAACUGCGUCUGAUACUGGAAGGCUUGAAUCCGGGAGAGGGAUGUGGAAUUCCAGGUGUAGCGGUGAAAUGCGUAGAUAUCGUAAGGAAGACCAGUGGCGAAGGCGGGUCUCUGGACAGUUCCUGACACUGAGGCACGAAGGCCAGGGGAGCAAACGGG